GAGUUUGAUCGUGGCUCAGAUUGAACGCUGGCGGCAUGCCUUACACAUGCAAGUCGAACGACGCUAGGGGCAACUCUAGCGAGUGGCGAACGGGUGAGUAAUACAUCGGAACGUGUCCUGUCGUGGGGGAUAACCAGUCGAAAGACUGGCUAAUACCGCAUGACCUCGCAAGAGAAAAGCGGAGGACCGCAAGGCUUCGCGCGAUUGGAGCGGCCGAUGUCGGAUUAGCUAGUUGGCGGGGUAAUGGCCCACCAAGGCGACGAUCCGUAGCUGGUUUUGAGAGAACGACCAGCCACACUGGGACUGAGACACGGCCCAGACUCCUACGGGAGGCAGCAGUGGGGAAUUUUGGACAAUGGGGGCAACCCUGAUCCAGCCAUGCCGCGUGUGUGAAGAAGGCCUUCGGUUGUAAG
rnacentral:rRNA from 1 species